UACAGAGGUCUCGAGCGUUAAUCGGAGUCACUGGGCUUAAAGGGUGCGUAGGCGGGCUCGCAAGUGUCUUGUGAAAUCCCACGGCUCAACCGUGGAAUCGCUCGGCAGACUGCGGGCCUUGAGGUCGGUAGGGGCCGCCGGAACUCUAGGUGGAGCGGUGAAAUGCGUAGAUAUCUAGAGGAACGCCGAAGGUGAAGACAGGCGGCUGGGCCGAAUCUGACGCUGAGGCACGAAAGCGUGGGGAGCGAACGGG
rnacentral:rRNA from 1 species